rnacentral:misc_RNA from 1 species
UUUUUUCGAUCAAACGGAUCUACUAUAUGUCGCGGGUGACAUCGCGCCUGACGUCAAUCGCGCGUCAUUCGAUGGCGACUGCCGGACGGAGGGAGCGUCCUAAUAACGUACGGCUCGCGUUAUUUCAACGCGUUACGAAAUAACGUGAAAUCGCGUCGAGAGAAUUUGUUUUUUAUUGUGCGCUCCUUCUCCUCCACUCCAAUGGCAAAUUUCAACGGCUGGAUAACGGACGAGGAAGGCACAUUCGUAUUCAUAAGAGUUUAUUUUUUUAAUAAAGAGUUUUAAAUUUUAUAUUCCAAUCGAUUGCGCAAUUUUUGUAUUUUGCAGCUAUUCAAUGAAACUUGUGUGACAACUUUCUUCUGUACCUGUGAUCGAUCUCGAGUUUCUUUAUCGACCGAUAGUUGUAAUGAGCAUUCCCGUGUUCCUGACGAUAUUCUUUACCGACUGUGGAUCUGAACUAUUAAUUGCGCGGGAAACCCAAGGGGAAAGCUGUAAUGGCUGCCAUCGGUAAACACGGCGCGAGGACAAUAAGCGGACUGCAAUCACGGUUUUGCGAUCUCCUCGUCUCGGAUCAGCACUGACGGAUGCGCGUGUGUGCAUUGUCGGCCUGUGUCGGCCAUUACGAAUCCGUUCCCGCAGACGCGUCGUUGUGCUCUCGAAGGUGUAAAUUUUCGGCGGAUAUCUCAUAGCACGAGGGAAGCAGAAACUCUGCUGAAAUCGAUUGAUCGGGGAUCCGGAUCUUAUUGAACAUGGACAUGGACAGAUCGAGCAACGGCGAGUACAAGUAUCAGAGAGAGGAGGAUGCCGACGAGAAACCCAGAAUGCUGGACGAGGGUGACGACAAGGACCCUCAGGUCGACAAAGCCGGCGAGUAUAUGCAGGAGCUCUUGCAGGAGAAGGUCGAGCUAGACGGUCAGAAAUGGCCCAACGCUGUACGAUUACUGGAUCAGGAAAUUCAAAAAACGGAGACUAUGCGCAGACCAAUGAGAGAGUCAAAAUAUGUGGACAUUUAUCGUGAAAAACCAGUUCGUGUUUCUGUCAAAGUUCUGGUACCUGUUCGUGAACAUCCCAAGUUUAAUUUUGUAGGAAAAUUGUUGGGGCCGAAAGGCAAUUCUAUGAAGCGCUUGCAAGAAGAAACAAUGUGCAAGAUGGCAGUAUUAGGUAGAGGAUCGAUGAAAGAUAAGCAAAAAGAAGAAGAACUUCGUGCUUCCUUGAAUUUGAAAUAUGCACAUCUUGCCGAUGAUCUACACGUAGAGAUUACAGCUCUUGCCCCACCAGCGGAAGCUUAUGCACGUAUUGCUUUCGCUCUCGCCGAAGUGCGGAAAUACUUGAUUCCUGACAACAAUGAUAAUAUACGUCAAGAACAAAUGCGCGAAAUGGAGAUGAGCGGAUCCGAUGAAAAUGUUUCGAAUGAUCGGAGAGGACCUUCGAUGAGAGGACCUUCGAAUCUUGGUAAUGUACCAAGACCCGUUGGGAGGCAGACAUUACCUAGAAUGGGAUCUAGAGGUGUUCUUCCUCCACCUGUAAAUCGUGGGCCACCCACUAGACCAGCACCAAACAAAUCGAAGGUAUUCUCGAUCUUAGAUCGUGCAAGAGCUGCUAUGGAUCAAAGUUACAACUUUGAUACUCAGACUCCUCCACCAACAAACCGUGCUGCAUCGCAUCAUGAUUAUGAUUAUCACGGAUCAUCUGGUAGUAACGCUCGAUAUGGUGAUCGUCAUUAUACAUCGAAUUCUGGAUACACGACUUAUGAGUACGAUGAUGAUUCUGCGCCACAUUCAUCACGUGAUUAUUACGAAUCUUCAGAUUAUCCAGAGGAAUCGUCGAGCCGCGCUUGGAAAUCUUACAAGACCACAACGACGUCAGGCGCAGCCUCGCGCUACCGCACCACCCCAUAUACACGACCUUCCAAGUGGGUAAAAGAUGAAGGUCCUUUCAUAUCAUGAAGAUCGUGUGGGAAUCACGUUAAUCAUGAUGGACUUCGAAAUGCUACGAAUACUUAAAUAUAUGACAAUCUCAUCAGAAGGACUUCAUCAUACUUGGCAAUUCCUCGGACUUAACGUCGUCCUGACUAUCACGCGAAUGUGUGCCUGUGAAAGGCAGAAUCCUUGCUUGUGGCUUAUCGCACGACAUCCUAUGUUAAUAUCAGUAG